GUAUUUUGAAGACGGAUCGGAAUAGUGUGAGCCUCAAGCGUUUGAUGUGGAGGUACUAGUGAGCCAUAGGUGGUUUGCUAUUGAUACUUCAUGUACAUAAAUAAGUUUGCAAAAUGGAACUUGAAUGUCUAGUAGUGAGUCAUAGGUGGUUUGCUAUUGAUACCCCAUGUACAUAAAUAAGUUUGCAAAAUGGAACUUUGAAUGUCUGGUGUCAUAAAGAUUUUGCCGUCAACACCCAAAACCUAAUGGGAAAGAACUUUUCUUCUUUUGGUAUCAUUACAUUUCCGCGGGGUUAUGUUUCUCUUGAUCAGAUAUGAAUCAAGAUUCCAUGGUAUUUAUACCCC
rnacentral:lncRNA from 1 species